CCUUGCCAAUCUGCAACUAUGGACACCGACAAAAACAUAAAUAGGUACUCUUCAGCGAAAAGAAGCAUCCAAUUUACAGAAGAUGGAGCCACCAACAAAGAGGGUCAACAACAGGAACAUCUUCAGGAUACACAAGUGCAUCUCCAGGUUGUCAAAAA